rnacentral:rRNA from 1 species
UUUAUGGAGAGUUUGAUCCUGGCUCAGGAUGAACGCUGGCGGCGUGCCUAAUACAUGCAAGUCGAGCGAACGGAUAAGGAGCUUGCUCCUUUGAAGUUAGCGGCGGACGGGUGAGUAACACGUGGGUAACCUACCUAUAAGACUGGAAUAACUUCGGGAAACCGGAGCUAAUGCCGGAUAACAUUUGGAACCGCAUGGUUCUAAAGUAAAAGAUGGUUUUGCUAUCACUUAUAGAUGGACCCGCGCCGUAUUAGCUAGUUGGUAAGGUAACGGCUUACCAAGGCAACGAUACGUAGCCGACCUGAGAGGGUGAUCGGCCACACUGGAACUGAGACACGGUCCAGACUCCUACGGGAGGCAGCAGUAGGGAAUCUUCCGCAAUGGACGAAAGUCUGACGGAGCAACGCCGCGUGAGUGAUGAAGGUUUUCGGAUCGUAAAACUCUGUUAUUAGGGAAGAACAAAUGUGUAAGUAACUGUGCACAUCUUGACGGUACCUAAUCAGAAAGCCACGGCUAACUACGUGCCAGCAGCCGCGGUAAUACGUA